rnacentral:miRNA from 1 species
CUCUAGUUGUAGGACUUCCGUUCAG